rnacentral:rRNA from 1 species
GGAAGGAUCAUUACCGAACUGUCGACACGAGCUGUUGCUGGCCCUCGAAAGGGGGCACGUGCACGCUCUGUUCACAAUCCACUCACACCUGUGCACCCUCUGUAGUUCUAUGGCCUUGGGGACCCUGUCCCCUUGCCGUGGUCCUACGUCUUUACACACACACCAUAACAAAGUCUCAUGGAAUGUAUGCCGCGUUUAACGCAAUACAAUACAACUUUCAGCAACGGAUCUCUUGGCUCUCGCAUCGAUGAAGAACGCAGCGAAAUGCGAUAAGUAAUGUGAAUUGCAGAAUUCAGUGAAUCAUCGAAUCUUUGAACGCACCUUGCGCCCUUUGGCUAUUCCGAAGGGCAUGCCUGUUUGAGUAUCAUGAACACCUCAACUCUCGUGGUCCGCCAUGAUGAGCUUGGAUUUUGGGGGUCUUGCCGGCCUAGCAUCGGCUCCUCUCAAAUGGAUCAGCUUGCCAGUGUUUGGUGGCGUCACAGGUGUGAUAACUAUCUACGCUUGUGGUUUCUGCCAUGCAACCUUCAGUGAUGGGGGUUCGCUGGAGCUCACAGAUGUCUCUCCUUGGGGAGGACAGCUUUUUGAACGUUUGAUCUCAAAUCAGGUAGGACUACCCGCUGAACUUAAGCAUAUCAAUAAGCGGAGGAAAAGAAACUAACAAGGAUUCCCCUAGUAACUGCGAGUGAAGCGGGAAGAGCUCAAAUUUAAAAUCUGGCGUGCCUCUGGCCGUCCGAGUUGUAGUCUGGAGAAGCGUUUUCCGUGUUGGACCGUGUACAAGUCUCUUGGAACAGGGCGUCAUAGAGGGUGAGAAUCCCGUCUUUGACACGGACUACCAAUGCUUUGUGAUGCGCUCUCAAAGAGUCGAGUUGUUUGGGAAUGCAGCUCAAAAUGGGUGGUAAAUUCCAUCUAAAGCUAAAUAUAGGCGAGAGACCGAUAGCGAACAA